rnacentral:lncRNA from 1 species
AAAAAAGGAUCGUGCCUUUUCUCUCUCUCUCUCGAAACAUUUUUUUCUUCGGUUCUAUCGUCAAAAGAGACAGAGAAGGAAAUUUCAUCUCUGUGAUUUCAUCGAAGCUUUUGAGCUAUAAUCAUCUUGUUAUGUCUUGUAAUAGUUGCAUUGUCUUCAAGCUCCCAUUUCCGGCCCGAUCAAAUCUUCCCAGCUCAUCUAGGU